rnacentral:rRNA from 1 species
UACGUAGGGUCCGAGCGUUGUCCGGAAUUAUUGGGCGUAAAGGGCUCGUAGGCGGUUCGUCACGUCGGGAGUGAAAACUCGGAGCUUAACUCCGAGCCUGCUUCCGAUACGGGCAGACUAGAGGUAUGCAGGGGAGAACGGAAUUCCUGGUGUAGCGGUGAAAUGCGCAGAUAUCAGGAGGAACACCGGUGGCGAAGGCGGGUCUCUGGGCCGAUACUGACGCUGAGGAGCGAAAGCGUGGGGAGCGAACAGG